rnacentral:rRNA from 1 species
CCUACGGGAGGCAGCAGUAGGGAAUAUUGGACAAUGGGCGCAAGCCUGAUCCAGCCAUGCCGCGUGAGUGAAGAAGGCCCUCGGGUUGUAAAGCUCUUUUGUCCGGAAAGAAAAGCGCUGGGUUAAUACCCUGGUGUCCUGACGGUACCGGAAGAAUAAGCACCGGCUAACUUCGUGCCAGCAGCCGCGGUAAUACGAAGGGUGCAAGCGUUACUCGGAAUUACUGGGCGUAAAGCGUGCGUAGGUGGUUUGUUAAGUCUGAUGUGAAAGCCCUGGGCUCAACCUGGGAAUUGCAUUGGAUACUGGCAGGCUAGAGUGCGGUAGAGGGUAGUGGAAUUCCCGGUGUAGCAGUGAAAUGCGUAGAGAUCGGGAGGAACAUCUGUGGCGAAGGCGACUACCUGGACCAGCACUGACACUGAGGCACGAAAGCGUGGGGAGCAAACAGGAUUAGAUACCCUGGUAGUCCACGCCCUAAACGAUGCGAACUGGAUGUUGGGCUCAACUUGGAGCUCAGUAUCGAAGCUAACGCGUUAAGUUCGCCGCCUGGGGAGUACGGUCGCAAGACUGAAACUCAAAGGAAUUGACGG